rnacentral:siRNA from 1 species
CGACCAAUUUAUGAUUCUAUUCUC